rnacentral:rRNA from 1 species
GGCGGCGUGCCUAAUACAUGCAAGUCGAGCGAAUGGAUUAAGAGCUUGCUCUUAUGAAGUUAGCGGCGGACGGGUGAGUAACACGUGGGUAACCUGCCCAUAAGACUGGGAUAACUCCGGGAAACCGGGGCUAAUACCGGAUAACAUUUUGAACUGCAUGGUUCGAAAUUGAAAGGCGGCUUCGGCUGUCACUUAUGGAUGGACCCGCGUCGCAUUAGCUAGUUGGUGAGGUAACGGCUCACCAAGGCAACGAUGCGUAGCCGACCUGAGAGGGUGAUCGGCCACACUGGGACUGAGACACGGCCCAGACUCCUACGGGAGGCAGCAGUAGGGAAUCUUCCGCAAUGGACGAAAGUCUGACGGAGCAACGCCGCGUGAGUGAUGAAGGCUUUCGGGUCGUAAAACUCUGUUGUUAGGGAAGA